rnacentral:rRNA from 1 species
GACGAACCGUGCGAACGUUGUUCGGAAUCACUGGGCUUAAAGGGCGCGUAGGCGGAUCAUCAAGUCAGGGGUGAAAUCCCACGGCUCAACCGUGGAAGUGCCUCUGAUACUGGUGGUCUGGAGUGGGGUAGGGGCAUGCGGAACUGGUGGUGGAGCGGUGAAAUGCGUAGAUAUCACUAGGAACGCCGGUGGCGAAAGCGGCGUGCUGGACCCCAACUGACGCUGAGGCGCGAAAGCCAGGGGAGCAAACGGG